UUUGGCAGACUGAGUGGCGGACGGGUGAGUAACGCGUGAGGAACCUGCCUCGGAGUGGGGAAUAACAGUCCGAAAGGACUGCUAAUACCGCAUAAUGCAGCUGAGUCGCAUGACUCUGGCUGCCAAAGAUUUAUCGCUGAAAGAUGGCCUCGCGUCUGAUUAGCUAGUUGGUGAGGUAACGGCCCACCAAGGCGACGAUCAGUAGCCGGACUGAGAGGUUGAACGGCCACAUUGGGACUGAGAUACGGCCCAGACUCC
rnacentral:rRNA from 1 species